UUUGUGAAAGCGACAACACGUUUCAAUUUGUGAUCCUUGUGUCCAUAUUGCAGAGCCCUGCGAUGAGGUAGCGACUUGUCCAGGGUGUACCCCGCCUUCCGCCCGAUUGUAGCUGAGAUAGGCUCCAGCGCCCCCCGCGACCCCAAAGGGAAUAAGCGGUAGAAAAUGGAUGGAUGGAUGUUCAUCAGAGACAUACAGGAUGUCGGAAUUUCAAAGUUCCUAGUCCGAAGUUUUAACUGGAACGCCCAACGAGGUUGAAUUUCCUACUCGGAAAGUUGAAAAUUCGUCACCACACCCGAGUUGGCUUCAAAGAUAUGGCUGUUCUGAGUGUAAACAAUAAUAUAAGCUUCUAUAAUAUCUGUUAUUAGCACUCCUAUUUUUUGUCGCACUGUAUCCGCCAUCUAUGCUGUUUUGUUUGACAUUUUUUAUAGUAAUAUUACGGUAGUGUAAAUGACAUGUUUUCAUGUGUUUUAUAUAUUCUACAUUGCUAGUAACAGCGUCUAUGUUUCCUCUUCACCCACUGUGUUUAAAGGUUGCCCGAAGGAAUGCAUAUUUUUCCAUAAGUUGUUUAUAUUCGGUAAAGGCAAACACAUGAAUAGCUUUCAUGGAUGUGGCCAUAUUGGUUUCCGACCUUGUAACUAGAACACUCAUAACUCGGCUGUGACGUCAUUCCCAGGUUCGACUUUCAACUUCUGAGUUUAAUUAAACGCAUUGGAUCAUUUCUAAUUACUGGUUUACAUGCCAAUUAUGUCUA